CCCAGGAUGGGAGAUGCUUUGCUGGAAAAUUCCAUGGAUGGUCAACUCAGCAGUUCUUCCAGCCUUUCCAGACCCUGAAGAGGAUGGAACACUCUCAAUGUAUUUCACGAGGCAAAAGCCACUACCCUGGUUUGCUUCUCCAUUGUUAUGACACAAGUAGUAGCUGGUAAACACGGCUUUCCACCUGGCAUCGGAUGCAGCCACGGACCACAUGUUGAUGGCUUCAGAGACUUUCUGUUCUUUUUUGUGUUUUUUUUUUUCUUCCCACAGCAGGGAUGUCUUGUCAUAAGACUAUCACCAAGACUCAUACUUUGGUUUCCCUCCUAGUCACCUCCAGAUCCAGCUGUUCACAGACCACUUGGCUGUGGGUUACGUCCAACUCAUCUGUUGUGGUUCAAGUUGUGCUAUCCCCAAACAAUCACAACUCAGAAAACCACAGAGGAAUGCUCAUGUGAUGCUCAUGUGAUCCAGCCAUGAAGGAAAGGAAUACAAACCUGAAGACCCCAAGAAGAAUCUCAACAAUGUGUGUUGCUGAGCCCUCUUCUCUAUUUGUUUCUUAUUACUAGGCCACCUUCCACUUGCCAAAUCAUACUGUCACAUAAAACAUCAAAACGGU